rnacentral:rRNA from 1 species
UACGUAGGGGGGCAAGCGUUGUCCGGAUUUAUUGGGCGUAAAGAGCGUGUAGGCGGCCAGACAGGUCCGUUGUGAAAACUCGAGGCUCAACCUCGAGAUGUCGAUGGAAACCGUCUGGCUAGAGUCCGGAAGAGGAGUGUGGAAUUCCUGGUGUAGCGGUGAAAUGCGCAGAUAUCAGGAGGAACACCAAUUGCGAAGGCAGCUCGCUGGGACGUAACUGACGCUGAGACGCGAAAGCGUGGGGAGCAAACAGG